rnacentral:lncRNA from 1 species
AAGGACAAGACACGAAAACUGUGCCUGGAUUGUCAGAAGGAUGUAGGUAGUAUGGAGAAUCAGAGUAGACAGGUUUGGUGCUGUCGACAGGUUUGGUGUUGCCGUUUGCUCCUUCACUUGUCGACAUGAUAAAGAUGGCAAAGAAGUUGCCACAAAAAAUAAACUAUCAGUGCUCUGAUACCAUGAAGAAAAUAUUACAAGAUGAUACAAGAUGAUUCUAAAAUAAGAAAUAGUAAUAAAAGGAAGCUAAGUUGACCAUAUCUCUAUAGGUGUAAAAUGUUAAUAAUGGAAAGCAUAUAAAACUAUACAAAUUUGUAAGAUAAAUUAUGCUAAUUUGAAUCUUGAUCUAAUCGAUGUUUGAUUUGUAAAUCCUGCUAAUAUACAACAUCAGUUUUAAUACUCCUCUAUGUCUGGGACUGUGCCGGGUGGAACUGGAAUAGUAUUAGUUUGUGGGCUCAUUGAUUACCUUAGCCGUAGGGUUAGACAGCAAUAUUAAUUAGAACCGGAUUGUGCCGAGGUUGUGUUGUUAGCGGUUACUAUGAUUUGAUCAUGUUCAUGGAUUAUAGCCUGUCAUAGCAUAGUAUGUUUGACCUAAUUACUUUAAUCUUCGAGCAAGUUGCUCCCCUCGAGUGCCACUUCGGAGAUAGAUGGUUGAUUUAAUAUAUAUUAAGUAAAAGGUAUAGCAUACCGAACUUCUAAAGUUAUGAAGUUAUGGGGUAUGUUAGUUUGGAGAGCCGUUAGAAUGGUUCCGGUGAAGUUCGGGAGCAUUCGGGUGUUUUCGGUACGCGUCGGGCGCGAAAACGGAACCCGAAAAGCUAUG